rnacentral:rRNA from 1 species
UACGGAGGGGGCUAGCGUUGUUCGGAAUUACUGGGCGUAAAGCGCACGUAGGCGGCUUUGUAAGUUAGAGGUGAAAGCCCAGGGCUCAACCCUGGAAUUGCCUUUAAGACUGCAUCGCUUGAACAUCGGAGAGGUAAGUGGAAUUCCGAGUGUAGAGGUGAAAUUCGUAGAUACUCGGAAGAACACCCAGUGGGCGAAAGG